rnacentral:rRNA from 1 species
AUUGAACGCUGGCGGCAGGCCUAACACAUGCAAGUCGAACGGUAACAGAAAGCAGCUUGCUGCUUUGCUGACGAGUGGCGGACGGGUGAGUAAUGUCUGGGAAACUGCCUGAUGGAGGGGGAUAACUACUGGAAACGGUAGCUAAUACCGCAUAACGUCGCAAGACCAAAGAGGGGGACCUCCGGGCCUCUUGCCAUCGGAUGUGCCCAGAUGGGAUUAGCUAGUAGGUGGGGUAACGGCUCACCUAGGCGACGAUCCCUAGCUGGUCUGAGAGGAUGACCAGCCACACUGGAACUGAGACACGGUCCAGACUCCUACGGGAGGCAGCAGUGGGGAAUAUUGCACAAUGGGCGCAAGACUGAUGCAGCCAUGCCGAGUGUAUGAAGAAGGCCUUCGGGUUGUAAAGUACUUUCAGCGGGGAGGAAGGGAGUAAAGUUAAUACCUUUGCUCAUUGACGUUACCCGCAGAAGAAGCACCGGCUAACUCCGUG